CAGGAACGCUGGCGGCGUGCUUAACACAUGCAAGUCGAACGGUGAUCUUGAGAGCUUGCUCUUGGGUGAUCAGUGGCGAACGGGUGAGUAACACGUGAGUAACCUGCCCCUGACUCUGGAAUAACUUCGGGAAACCGAAGCUAAUACCGGAUAUGACACAGAGCCGCAUGGUUUCUGUGUGGAAAGUUUUUCGGUUGGGGAUGGACUCGCGGCCUAUCAGCUUGUUGGUGAGGUAAUGGCUCACCAAGGCGACGACGGGUAGCCGGCCUGAGAGGGCGACCGGCCACACUGGGACUGAGACACGGCCCAGACUCCUACGGGAGGCAGCAGUGGGGAAUAUUGCACAAUGGGCGAAAGCCUGAUGCAGCGACGCCGCGUGAGGGAUGAAGGCCUUCGGGUUGUAAACCUCUUUCAGUAGGGAAGAAGCGCAAGUGACGGUACCCACAGUAGAAGCACCGGCUAACUACGUGCCAGCCGCCGCGGUAACAC
rnacentral:rRNA from 1 species